UACGAAGGGGGUUAGCGUUGUUCGGAAUUACUGGGCGUAAAGCGCACGUAGGCGGAUUGUUAAGUUAGGGGUGAAAUCCCAGGGCUCAACCCUGGAACUGCCUUUAAUACUGGCAAUCUCGAGUCCGAGAGAGGUGAGUGGAAUUCCGAGUGUAGAGGUGAAAUUCGUAGAUAUUCGGAGGAACACCAGUGGCGAAGGCGGCUCACUGGCUCGGUACUGACGCUGAGGUGCGAAAGCGUGGGGAGCAAACAGG
rnacentral:rRNA from 1 species